rnacentral:rRNA from 1 species
UACGUAGGGUGCGAGCGUUGCCCGGAUUUAUUGGGCGUAAAGGGCGCGUAGGCGGCUCGGCACGUCCGUUGUGAAAUCGCCCGGCUCAACUGGGCGGGGUCAGCGGAUACGGUCGAGCUUGAGCAAGCUAGGGGGCAGUGGAAUUCCCAGUGUAGCGGUGAAAUGCGUAGAUAUUGGGAGGAACACCGGUGGCGAAGGCGGCCCCCUGGACCGGUACUGACGCUGAGGCGCGAAAGCGUGGGUAGCAAACGGG